UGAGAAUUCCGGAAGUCAGGGAAAUGGAAACGCACAGGAGUAAUGAGCCGACUGGUAUAGUCUCUGAUAACAACGCUUGAGACUGAGCUGAGCAAGCUGGAGGUUCCAUCAGUUGACAUUUAAAACAUAGAGGGAAAGGGGAGCCACGGAAAGCUUUCAGCUAGAAGGCAAUAUGCCAAGUUUCGGGAGGCCUGGCUUGCUCCACUUGGCAGUGAUGAGCAGAAGAGUGCAAGAACAUCAAACCGAGUCAUGACAGUGCUCUAUAAAGCAGAAGUAAAUGUC